GCAAACUUUAAAACAUAUAGAAUAGAACAGGGGAGAUCUUUCUGGCCCCAAGAAAGAGGAGGAUUUUUAAAACAAGACACAACAAGUAUUAACCAUGACAGAAAAAAUGAUGCAUAAUAGAAGUCACCAUAAUUAUAUAAAGAUACAUAAUGAAGUCACCAUAAUUAAUGAAUAUAAAAGGCAAUAAAUGGGGGAAGAUACCUGUGUGCAAAGAAUUAGUAUCCAGAAUAUGUAAAUAAAACUAUGAAUCAAAAAGAAAGCUUAACAACCCAAUAGAAAAAUGGGCAAACACAAUGGUAGUUAGGGAAAUGUGGACUACAACCAAGAAGAGAUAAUGUACCCACCUUAUUAGUAAAAACUGAAUUGGCAAAGACAUAGAUUCAUAGAAAUUUCCACUGCCAAUGAAAAUGUAAAUCUACACCAUCACCUUAACAAUUCAGCAUUACUUAAAGAUAUAUGCACCCUAUGAGUCAGCCUUCAUCAGAUAUACACCUAGAGAAACUCUUGCACUAAUGCACAUAUAUACCAGUACACAUAUACCAGAAUGUUUAUGGAAAUGUAACAAAAGGGAAAAAAUGGAAACAACUAUUCAUCCAUCCACAGAAGAUUAGAUAUUUAAAUUGCUGUAUUUUCAUACAGUGAAAUAUAGUAGUCCCCCUUAUCAACA
rnacentral:lncRNA from 1 species